UUACAGCGCCAGCAGCCGAGCGGUUUCUUUUCUAACACUGAAAUUGAAACGUGGGACCGUGGGAAAUACACUGACUUCGGAAUGACUGAUGACUGAUGAUCAAAGCGUGAGUAGGACAUUCUCUGCUGAUGGCAGUGAUGGAGAACGCAACGUGGCCACAUCCCUCAUACCUCCCACAUUAUCUCCUCCGUGGUGACCCUUUCGCCUCAAGACUCUCCAGGGAGGCGGACGUUGUUGCAGCUCUUUACGUCUGUAUCAUAGGAAUCAUGUCUGCAACAGGGAAUGGAUAUGUCAUUUAUAUGACCAUGAAACGGAAGACCAAGUUAAAGCCUCCUGAGCUCAUGACUGUUAACCUAGCCAUCUUUGAUUUUGGC